rnacentral:rRNA from 1 species
UACGUAGGGUGCAAGCGUUAAUCGGAAUUACUGGGCGUAAAGCGUGCGCAGGCGGUUUUGUAAGUCAGAUGUGAAAUCCCCGGGCUUAACCUGGGAACUGCGUUUGAAACUACAAGGCUAGAGUGUGGCAGAGGGGGGUGGAAUUCCACGUGUAGCAGUGAAAUGCGUAGAGAUGUGGAGGAACACCGAUGGCGAAGGCAGCCCCCUGGGUUAACCCUGACGCUCAGGCACGAAAGCGUGGGGAGCAAACAGG